ACACGGGCCGCGGCUGUUCGUGUCGGCUACAGCCCAGACACAGCCGCGCUGACUCUGCUGUCCAAAAGUAGUAGGGACGGUUCUCCAUCCCCAACCUCUCUACUCUGUUUUUCUUCGUGCUGUAGCCGCCGCCGUGGACACCGCGCGGCCGACCGCAGGUAGAGCACGCCUUCGCCGUGCGCAGUCGCCAGCGAGCCAGCCACACCGCGCCGCCGACGCGCAGGUAGAGCAGGCCGUCGCCUUCGCCGUCGCCGUGCGCCGCCGUGCGCCGUCGCCAGUGAGCCGGCCACUCCGCGCCGCCGACCGCAGGUCGAGCACGCCUUCGCCGUGUGCCAUCGCCAGCGAGCCGGCCACACCGCGCCGCCGACGCGCAGGUAGAGCAGGCCUUCGCCGUCGCCGUGCGCCGCCGUGCGCCGUCGCCAGUGAGCCGGCCACUCCGCUCCGCCGACGCGCAGGUACAGUACGCCGUCGCCGUGCCCCUUGGCCGUGCGUCGUCGCUGUCGCCAGCGAUUCGGUCACACCGUCGCUACUGCUGCGAUUGAUGGAGAAGACUGGCUCAGUCCAAGGUUCAGAGAGAUGCUUGUCGGUGAUCACCUAGGCUACAAUGUAGAAAACUGCAGGAUGUUGAUCAUGUCUCUACCGAAAAAAUGGCCGCUGCUGCUCGUAUGUUUGGGAUUUUCUGAACAAGGUUUUAACUGUUAUUGACCCUAACCUCCAGCAGACCGAAGUAGGAAAACUUCAGUGGGAACAUGAUGACACCAUGGACUGCCUCCAUGAAGCUCUCUUUGAUUGCAAAGAUGAAUGGAUCCAGGGCUGGGAAGUGGAUCGUCACAACUGGCGCUACAACCAUCCAAUUGGGUUAGGCCGACGCUGCCGUGACUAUAAUUCUGGAGUGUACGCAAUGCAUUAUGCUCUUAUGUGACCGAUUUGUCGGUUGAGGUGAGAGCGUCUGCUUUACUGUUUGCUGAAAAUUUUGUUCAAGCUACAUGAUAUGCAAGGUUUAACGUAUGCUAUAUUUUUUCUGGCUUUGGAUGACCAUGUGCUUGUGCGAGCGGACCAGUUUUACAAGCUCAUGGGGAUGCCAGGGAACACUGGUGAUCUCCCUACUUUCCUUCACCAUGUUGCAGCAUGAGUUAGAGACUACCUGGUGUGCUUAUUAUCUUUGGGCUCCGGAAGCUGAUUUGCUCCAAUUUGGCUUGUAAUCAAACAGCUAGUUUCCUAAGAUUAUUGUGAGCUGGACCAUCCUUAGUACGGUUCUUUUGAAUGUAUUACCAGACUGCCGGUGUAACUUAGAAGACUAUCAUUAUUUUGUUAUGUAUUUGCUUGCAAAAAUGUUGUGAGAUGGGGGGUUUUC